rnacentral:tRNA from 1 species
GGGCGUUUAGCUCAGUUGGGAGAGCGCCUGCCUUACAAGCAGGUGGUCAGGGGUUCAAGUCCCUUAGCGCCCACCA